UAAAAAACACGUCCAAACAAAACCCUCAUGGACCAGUGAGGUUAGUGAAAUGGUGGCCCUAAUGACACGUGGGCGAUUGGGGUCACCCUUGAGUGCUUUUGGCAGCAGUGACAGUGAGGAUGUAGCAGAGCAACAGUUCCACCUACAGGACAGAAAUAGUGUGAAUGGCUACCAGGAAUAUGAGACCCAGGAAAGCACUGAUCUGGAGCAACUAUUCAAGAGUUUUGCCGGUAUUCAGAGUGAUAGUGAGGAGAGCACAAAUUACCACACUAUCGAUCACACUUUUGAUGUGACCAAUGGAGUGCUGGAGGUGACAAGCCAAACUGAGGAUGAGGGAAGUUCAGAUGGUUUGGACUAUACACAGACACAGCAAUCUAGCAUGUUCUACACACCCAAACAUCACCUGUCCAACCACAC
rnacentral:lncRNA from 1 species